AUUGAACGCUGGCGGCAGGCUUAACACAUGCAAGUCGAGCGGGGUGAUGGUGCUUGCACUAUCACUUAGCGGCGGACGGGUGAGUAAUGCUUAGGAAUCUGCCUAUUAGUGGGGGACAACAUCUCGAAAGGGAUGCUAAUAACGCAUACGUCCUACGGGAGAAAGCAGGGGAUCACUUGUGACCUUGCGCUAAUAGAUGAGCCUAAGGCGGAUUAGCUAGUUGGUGGGGUAAAGGCCUACCAAGGGGACGAUCUGUAGUGGGUCUGAGCGCAUGAUCCGCCACCCUGGUACUGAGCCACGGCCCAGACUCCUACUGGAGGCAGCAGUGGGGAAUAUUGGACAAUGGGGGGAACCCUGAUCCAGCCAUGCCGCGUGUGUGAAGAAGGCCUUAUGGUUGUAAAGCACUUUAAGCGAGGAGGAGGCUCGUUUGGUUAAUACCCAAGAUGAGUGGACGUUACUCGCAGAAUAAGCACCGGCUAACUCUGUGCCAGCCGCCGCCGUAA
rnacentral:rRNA from 1 species